UACGGGGGGGGCAAGCGUUGUUCGGAAUUACUGGGCGUAAAGGGCUCGUAGGCGGCCAACUAAGUCAGACGUGAAAUCCCUCGGCUUAACCGGGGAACUGCGUCUGAUACUGGAUGGCUUGAGUUUGGGAGAGGGAUGCGGAAUUCCUGGUGUAGCGGUGAAAUGCGCAGAUAUCAGGAAGAACACCUAUGGCGAAGGCAGCACUCUGGGACGGUACUGACGCUGAGACGCGAAAGCGUGGGGAGCGAACAGG
rnacentral:rRNA from 1 species